rnacentral:lncRNA from 1 species
CACCUCCGAGAUCCGAUCCGAUGGUCAACCGAUCAUCCCUCUCGAUGUGUUCGGAUUUACCCACACCGGCCGCCUGGAGCUCAACGUCUCGCAAAUCUCGUUCUCUAACUCUAACCCCGAUCUCGAUCUCUCCAAAAUCGGAUUCUUCCUCUGCACGCGUGACUCAUGGCUACAUGUUCUUCAGCAGCUGGAAGAGUCGGAUAUCACCUGCGCUCUCAAGUCUGACGUCGUCAAGACUGUGUAUUCCUUCGAUCGGCUCAAGGGGGCUACGAGCUUUGGUACGGUGUAUCAGAUGAACGACGCGGAUCAGUUUACUCUUGUCUUCGCCAACUGCCUUCAGCAGGUGCAGAUCUCGA